GGCACCGUAUUUCUAUCAUUGAAGGCCAGGCAGAGGAUUGAAAAUCCUUGUGCCGGUGGUUCGAUUCCGCGCCGGGCCACCA
rnacentral:tRNA from 1 species